CUCCUGGGCUCAAACAGCCCUCCUGCCUCAGCCUCCCGAAAUGCGGGGAUUAUAGGUGUGUGCCAUCACACCGAGCUUCAAGUGUAUAUUCUGCAUUUAUCUUUUUCAUGUUAUAGCCCUUAAUUAUAAAAAUUAUUUUUGCAUAGGUUGCAUACCAUCAUUUUCCUUAUCUUUGAGUGGGGACAGUUCUGCAUAGACUGAUAUUUGCCCAGUGUAGUAAAACCACACAAGCAGAAAAAGAGGCUCUUGGCAGCAGGAGAGUAUGGGGGAAAUCACAGAAAAGAGGAAGCUCAAGGAAAAGUUCCUAAAAAGCUGUGUAUAAAGUCCUUGGCUCCACCCCCAGCUGCUCAUGCAUGGAGCUGACCCAAAGCAAUAUACCAAAGGCUCUGAGAACUGGCUGUGGUGUAGACUACCACCAGAAUGACCACCUGGGUGAUGCACAUGUGAGGCAGAUCCAAGUAGCACUGCAAAACCUUUGGAAACUGAAGUGACACUAAAGCCACAGCUUACUAAAGGUAUGUCCAAACUUAUGAUCUGAACCAACCAGGUUAAUUGGCAGCUAAAACAACAAAGUAAACAUUCACCAAAGGACUUUAACAAGACUCAGAGACUUGUAAAAUAUAUGUAACAUUCAGGAAUAAUCUAAAAUUGCUCAACAUAUAAGGAACCAGGAAAAUCUCACCAACUUGCAAGAAACAAGCCAGUCCCAAAAUGAUUCAGAUGUUAAACCUAUCAGACAGUGACUUCAAAGCAGCUAUUACAGCCAAGUUCCAGGUAUAGCUACUCACAGGUCUGAGGUGGAAGGAUCACUUGAGCCCAGGGUGUCAAGGCUGCAGUGAUCCUUGAUCAUGCUACUGCACUCCAGCCUGGGCAACACAGUGAGACCCUGUCUCAAAAAAAUUAAUUAAUUGAUUGAUUAAUUAAAAAAGGAGUUCAGACUUUAAUUUCCAGUUCAGAUGGAGUAAGCAGCACAUAUCACUUUAUCUUUCCCAAAGAUUACAACCAAAAACCCUUGAAAGAAAACACAACUAGGAGUCUGAAAAGUACAUAAUAGCAAUAAGAGAGCAGUAAGAAGAGAGAACACUCUUGAAAUGAAAGAAAAAUUAUCUGCAGAAAAAUAGAAGCUACAAGAAAGUGCCAUGGGGAGUGGGGAAUGGAGAGUUGUUGAAUGGAUAUGGAGUAUCAGUUUUGCAAGGCAAGAAGAGCUCUAGAGACUGCUUGCGCAACAAUGUGAAUGUACUUAACACUACUGAACUGUAUACCAAAAAUGGUUAAGAUGGUAAAUUUUAUGUUACAUGUAUUUUACCAGAAUAAAACUAAAUUGGUAUGUACUUACCUAGAAAGAUGUUCAUAAUAUAGUUCUAAGUAAAACUAAAUUAUGUUUCACAGUGAAGGAAGGGAAAGAAGGCAGGAAGGAAGGACAAAGCGGUUAUGUACAAACUGAAAACUACAUAAUUGAAAUUAAAACCUUUGCUGGAUGGACUCAUUUGCCGAAUGGAAAUGAUAAAAUAGUGAUCUUAAAAGGUCAAGAUCAAGAUAUAUUAUCCCAUUUGAAACAGAGAGGAAAAAAGAUUGAAAAAAAUAACAGACUUGCAUACCUGUGGGACAAUAUCAGAAAGAUUAACAUUUAUGUCUUUGGUGUCCCAGAUCAGGAGGAAGAUACUGCUGCAGAUGAAUAUUGAAAAAAAUAAAGGAUAGAAACUUUAAAAUUUGGCAAAAGACAUGAAUGUAAAGAUUCAGGAAGUUCAGGAAACCCCCCAAACAAGAUACACUAAAAUCAACAACAACAACAAAAAAACUACAUUGAGAUGCAUCCAAAUUUACUUGCUGAAAAUUAAAGAUUUUUAAUUGCUGAAAAAUUUUAAAAUGUGGGCAGGUGUGAUGACUCAUGCCUGUAAUUCCAGUACUUUGGGAGGCCAAGGCGGGCAAAUUGCUUGAGCCCAGGAGUUCAAGACCAGCCUAUGGCAAAGCCCCCAUCUCUAAAAAAAAAAAAAAAUACAAAAAUUAGCCAGGCAUGGUGGUGCACACCUGUAGUCCUAGCUACCUAGGAGGCUGAGGUGGGAGAAUUGCUUGAGCCUGGGAGGUGGAGGUUGCAGUGAGCCGAGAUUGUGCCACUGCACUACAGCCUGGGCGACAGAGUGAGACACUGCCUUAAAAAAAAAAAUUGAAAAAGAAAAAUGACACAUUACAUAUAUAAAGGCGAAAUGACUAAAAUGACUGGAUUUCUCAUCAGAAAUCAUGGCGGUCAGAAAGCAGUAGAACAUUUUUUUGAUGCUGAAAGUAAAGAAGUGUCAACCCAAAAUUCUAUAUUCUGUAAAAUUUUCCUCAGGAAUGCAGGCAAAAUAAUUCCUUCCCAGAAGAAGGGAAAAUAAUGCAGCUGCACUAAAAGAAAUGCUAAAGGGAAUUCUUCAGGUGGAAAGGAAGUAAUACCAGAAGGAAACUCAAAACUUCAGGAAUGAAAGAAGAGCAACAGAAACAGUAAAUAUAUGGAUAAAUAUACUUUUUACUCUUCAUAAUUUCUUUAAAAUAUGUAUAAUGGGUGCAAGCAAACACUGUAACAUUGAUGGUGGGAUUUUUGGUGUAUGUAGAUAAUAAUACACAUGACAACUGCAACAUAAAGGGUGGAAUGUAAAAGGACCUGUAUUGUUGAAAGUUCCCCACAUUUUAUUUGAAAUGAUAAAAUAUUCUUAGCUGGUUUUAAAAGUUAAAUACAUAUAUUGGAAUCCUUAAUCAUUAAGAAUAUUAUUAAAAGUAUAUAGUUAUUUUUGGCCAGGCGCAGUGGCUCACACCUGUAAUCCUAGCACUUUGGGAGGCCAAGGCAGGUGGAUCAUGAGUCAAGAGAUCGAGACCAUCCUGGCCAACAUGGUGAAACCCCAUCUCUACUAAAAAUACAAAAAUUAGCUGGAGGUGGUGGUGCGUGCCUGUAGUCCCAGCUACUCAGGAGGCUGAGGCAAGAAAACUGCUUGAACCCAGGAGGCAGAGGUUGCAAUGAGCCAAGAUCAUGCCUUUGCACUCCAGCCUGGUGACGGAGCGAGACUGUCUCAAAUACAAAAACAAAACAAAAAAUAUAUACAGUUAUUUUUAAAGCCAAGAGAUAGAAAACCAAAAGAUAUUCAAAUAAUUCAAAAGAAUCCAGGAAAGAGCCAGGCACGGUUGUUCAUGUCUGUAAUCCCAACAGUUUGAGAGGCCAAGGCAGGCAGAUUCUUUGAGCCCAGGACUUAGCAGCCUGGGCAACAUGGAAAGACCCCAUCUCUCCAAAACAAAAUAUUAAAAAAUUAGCCAGACAUGGUGAUGUGUGCAUGUAGUCCCAGCCACCCAGGAGGCUGAGGCAGGAGGAUUGCUUGAGCCUGGGAAUCAGAGGUUGCAGUGAACAGAGAUCAUACCACUGCACUCCAGCAUGAGCAACAGAGCAAUUCCCUCUCUCAAAAAAAAAAAAAAAAUUCAGAAAAGGAGAAAAAGGAAUGAAGAAAAAAAGGAGAAAAACAGAAAACAAAUAAUAGAAUGAUAGAUCCAACUAUAUUAACAGUUACAUUAAAGGUAAAUGUUCUAGAAACACCAUUUAAAAGCCAGUUUGUCAUUUUGGUUAAGAAUACAAGACCCAACUAUAUGCUAUAUAUUAGAAGUCCACUUUAAAUGACGUAAGUAUGUAAAAAGUAAAAGGAUGGAGAAAGAUAUACCAUGUAAAGAUUGGCUGAGCACAGUGGCUCAUGCCUGUAAUCCCAGCACUUUGAGAGGCUGAGGCGGGCAGAUCACCUGAGGUCAGGAGUUCGAGACUGGCCUGGCCAACAUGGUGAAACCCUGUCUCUACUAAAAAAAAAAAAAAAGCCAGGUGUGGUGGAGGGUGCCUCCAUGAGAGGCUGAGGCAGGAAAAUUGCUUGAACCCAGGAGGCUCACUAGCCAAGAUCCUGCAACUGCACUCCAGCCUGGGUCACAGAGUGAGACUCCAUCUCAAAAAAGAAAAGAUACACCAUGUAAUGACUAAUCAAAAGGAAGCUGGAAUGGGUAUAUUAAUCAGAUAAAAUAGACUUCAGAACAAGGAAAAUUAACAAGUUUGUAGAGGUAAAUUGCAUACUAAUAAAGUGGUCACUCAAGACAUAAUAAUUCUGUAUGUAUGCAGCUAACAACAGAGUGUCAAAAUACUGUACAUAAAACAAAAACUAAUAAAAUAGGAGAAAUAGAUAAUUCUGCAAUUAUAGAUGGGAAUUUCAGUUUUCCUCUCAGUAAUCAAUAAAGCAAGUAGACAGAAAAUCAGCAAGAAUGUAGAAGGCUGGAAAACCAUUAGCCAAAAAAGAAAAUUCCAGGCUCAGAUUUAAGGAAUAAAUAAGACCAAUUCUAUACAAUCUCUUACAGAAAAUAGAGGAGAAAGAAAUAAUUUGCAACUCAUUUUAAGAGCCAGCAUUACCCUAACAUUACUAGAGAAAGAUAUUUCAAAAAUAAGAUCAAUAUCUUGAACACAGACGCAAAAAUCCCCAACAAGAUAUUGACAAAUUGAAUACAGCAAUAUAUAAAUAAAAUUUUCUUUCAGGAAUGCAAGGUUGUUCCCACAUUUGAAAAUCAAUGUAGUCCACCAUAUUAACAGAUUGAAGCAUAGAAACAUGAUUUUAUGAAUAGAUGCAGAAAACCCAUUUGACACAAUUCAACAUCCAUUCUUUUUAUUUAUUUUUUUAAGACAGGGUCUCACUGUAGCUCAGUCUGGAGUGCAGUGGUGGCAAUCACGGCUCACUGCAGCCUGGACCUCCUGGGCUCAAGCAGCCCUGCCUCAGCCUCCUAAGUAGCUAGGACUACAAGUGCCCACCACCAUGUUUGGCCAAUUUUAUAACUGUUUAUAGAGACAGGGUCUCACUGUGUUGCCCAGGUUGAUCUUGAACUCCUGGGCUCAAGCAAUCCUCCCGCUUCAGCCUCCCAAAGUUCUGGGAUCACAGGCAUGAGCCAUUGUGCCCAACCUCUACAUUCUUUAUUGAUAAAACUCAAUGGAAUAUGAAUACAAGAGAACUUCCUUAAUUUAAUAAAUUGAACUAUAAAAAAAACUUGGCAGCUAACAUAAUUCUUUUUUUUCUUUUUUGAGAUGGAGUUUCACUCUUACUGCCCAGGCUGGAAUGCAAUGGUGCGAUCUCAGCUCACCGCAACCUCCGCCUUCCGGCUUCAAGCGAUUUUCCUGCCUCAGCCUCCUGAGUAGCUGGGAUUACAGACAUGCGCCACCAUGCCUGGUUAAUUUUGUAUUUUUAGUAGAGACAGGGUUUCUCCAUGUUGGUCAGGCUAGUCUUGAACUCCUGACCUCAGGUGAUCUGCCCACCUUGGCCUCCCAAAGUGCUGGGAUUACAGGCAUGAGCCACCGCGCCUAGCCGCUAACAUCAUUCUUAAUGGUGAAGGGCUGAUUAAUUUGCCUAAGAUUGGGAAAAAGGCAAAAAUGUUCUUAGCAUUUCUGUUUAACAUCGUGCUAAAAGUCCUGGCCACUGUGAUGAGGCAAGAAACAGAAGUAAGAGGCAUACAGAUUGGAGAAAAUAAAACAGAACUUUCUCUAUUCACAAACAAUGUGAGUGUUUAUGUAGAAGAUUUGAAGGAAUCUGCAAAAAAACUGCUAGAACUAAUUAGCACAGUUAAAAUAUAGAAUGCAUGAUUAACAUAUAAAAAUCACAUUGCUAUAUGUUAGCAAUGAGCAAUUCAACGUCAUUUUUUUAUUUUAAUAUCACAGUUUUUAUUUAAACUGUACUUACAGUAACAAAUACAAGCAGAGUUAAGACCAAACACAGUUGGUCCUUGACAAAUAUAUAAAACAUAUAACUCAACUGAUGUAGCUCUCAGCUCUGCUAGAGAGCAGUGUACAGCAGCAAGCAGUUAGCAUAUGGGGGACUUCAGUCAUUGUGGCAGUUGGGGGUAAUUGGGUAGUUGACUGCUUAACUCAGGGAAUUGGAAUAUAUAUCUGUUAAUCGGGGUAGUUGGUUAAAUGGGUUGCUUAAGAGUUUCUAGUCUAUCUUGUUCUGCCCACUUCUUGGUCUUUCCAGCCCCUGGAAUUGUAUAGCAAAGCACUCCCUCACUCUCUGGAUCAUAUAGAUCUCAUGUUUAACUUCUUCAGAGUGUACAUUCUUUGUCCCUUAUUCAGCUUUGUAUUUUCAAUGUAAUAUUGCUUACACAGUUUUCUAACAUUCUGAGACUUAGUGAAGAUUUGCAAGUAUAGUACAAAGAACUACCCCUGCCCAGCUGUUUGAGAGUAAUUUACUGACCCGAGCGUCUUCAGUGUGGAGUGCUUGAGUUUGUGUUUCCCACAAACAAGGACAUUUCAUGUUAACUAUAAUUGAGCUCUCAGAAUCAGGAAGCUAAACGGGAUACAUAACUACCAUAUAAUCCUCAUACCCCAUUCAAGUUUUUUUAAAUGUCAACAUCAACAUUUUAAACGAAGUACUAUUUAUAAUAGUUGCCCCAAAAUAAAAUACUUCGGUUUAAGUCUAAUAAGAUAUCUGUGGAAUCUAUAUGCUAAAAACUAGAAACACUGAUUUAAAAAAUCGAAGAUCUGAAUAAAUGAAGAAAUACUGUUCAUGGAUUAGAAGACUCAUCCCUAGUUAUGAUUUCAAAUCUCCCUAGUAUAUCUAUAGUAUUAGUGAAUUCUAAGUCAACUCCCAAGCAAGACCUUUUGUAGAUAUAGACAAGAUUGUUGUAAAAUUUAGAUGAAAAGGCAAAGUAGCUUUGAAACAAAAAAUUGGAAGACUCAUCUUACUUGAUUUUAAGAUUUACUGUAAAGGUACAAGAAUUGAGAUACUGUGACACAAGAUGGUGUGACACAAGACGGUAACCACGUAGAUUGGUGAAAAAGAGUCCAGAAUUAAACCCUCACAAAUACAGUCAAUUGUUUUGUUGUUGUUGUUGUUGUUUGUUUAGAGACAGGAUCUUCUCACUGUGUCACCUAGACUGGAGUGCACUGUUGUGAUCAUGGUUCACUGCAGCCUCGAACUCCUGGGCUCAAGCCAUCUUUCUUGCCUCAGCCUCCUGAGUAGUUGGGACUACAGGCAUGUGCUACUGCCCUGGGCUAAUUUAUUUUUAUUUUGAGACAAGGUCUCACUUCGUUGCCCAGGCUGAAGUGCAGUGAUGCAGUCUUGGCUCACUGCAACCUCUGCCUCCUGGGCUCAAGCGAUUGUCAUGCCUCAGCCUCCUAAGUAGCUGGGAUUACAGGAGUGCACCACCACACCUGGCUAAUUUUUUGUAUUUUUAGUAGAGAUGGGAUUUCACCAUGUUGUACAGGCUGGUCUCGAACUCCUAGCCUCAAGUGAUUUGCCUGCCCUGGCCUCCCAGAGUGUUUGAAUUACAGGUGUGUGCCACUGUGCCCAGCCCUAAUUUGUUUUGUUUCUUGUAGAGAUGGGGAUCUUGCUUUGUUGCCCAAGGUGGUCUCGAACUCUAGGCCUCAAACAAUCCUCCUGCCUCAGCCUCCCAAAGUGCUAGGAUUAUAGGCAUGAGCCACCACGCCCAGCCUAUGGUCAACUGACUUUUCACAAAGGAGAAAAGGUAAUUUUUAGGAGAAAGGAUAGUCUCUUCAACAAAAGAUUAGUUAGAACAACCCGGCAACCACAUGUAAAAACCUCAGGUAUACCUCACUUCUUGUACAAAAAUUCACUCAAAAUGAACUGUAGACCUACAUGUACAAUGUAAAACUAUAAAAUUACUAGGAGAAAUUAUGACCUUGGGUUAGGCAAAUAAUUUUUAGAUAUGACACUAAAUAUAAUGAAAUUUUUAAAUGGAUAAGUGGGUCUUCAUAAAAAUAAACUUGUCAUCUGCAAAAUACACUGUUAAGGGAAUGGAAAGAUGACUUGGAAAAAAAUACUUGCAAAUCACAUAUCUAACAAAGGGCUUAUAGCCACAAUAUAUAAAGAACUCUUAAAACUUAGCAAUAAGGGAAAACUGAAUAAAGAAUGGGCAGCAGAUGUGUACAGACACUUCAUGAAGGAAGAUAUAUGAAUGACAAAAAAAAUCACAUGAAAAGAUGAAGAGAUGUACACCAUCAUUUAUUAGAGGAGUGCAAAAGAAAACCAUGAGAUACAUCUGCACACUUAUUAGAAUGGCUCGACACACACAGCUGACAGUACUGGAGUCCUGGAGAUGAUAUGGAGCAACUGGAACUCAUAAUCACUGGUGGAAGUGCAAAAUGGUACAGCCACUUUGGAAAACCAUUUGGUGGCUGCUAUUAAACAUACAGUUUCCAUGUGAUUUAGCAGUCCCACUCCUAGCUAUUUACCCUAGAGAUAUUCACACAGAAACCUGUACAUGAAUGUUUAUAGAAGCUUAUUCAUAAUGAUCCAUAACUGGAAACAAUCCAAAUGCCUUUCAAUUGUUGACUGGAUAAACAAACUCUGGUACCUCCAUACAGUGGUAUACUUUUCAGCAACGAAAAGGAACAAACUUUUUUGUUUGUUUGUUUUUUGAGAUGGAGUCUCAUUGUGUCGCCCAGGCUGGAGUGCAGUGACACUAUCUCGGCUCACUGCAACCUCAACCUCUACCUCUCGAGUUCAAGUGAUUCUCUUGCCUCUGGCUUUCUAGUAGCUGGGAUUACAGGUGCGUGCCACCACACCUGGCUAAUUUUUGUAUUUUUGUAGAGAUGGGGUUUCGUUCAUCAUGUUGGCCGGGCUGGUCUCAAACUCCUGACCUCAGGUGAUCCACCUGCCUCAGCCUCCCAAAGUGCUGGGAUUACAGACAUGAACCACCACACCCGGCCAAAAAGGAACAAACUAUGGAUACACUUAAUGACAUAGGUACAUAUUUACAUGUAUUGAUUCCAUUUAUGUGACAUUCUGGAAAAGGCAAAAGGGAGGAAGAACUGAUUAGUGGUUAGCCCAGGGUUAGAGUUGGGGAGAGGAUAUAAUGAGGGAACUUUUUUGGAUUCUGUACCAUGAUUAUGAUUACACAAACCUAUGCAUACAUUGAAACACAUAGAACUAUACGUUGAAAAAAGUGAAUCUGCCUGUAUGUAAAUUUAAAAGAAAAAUAUUUUUUUAAAAAAACAGAUGCUUCUUAACACAUUAUCAUCUAUGUCAGUUUAACAGUUAGUAGACUUAGGCCAGGUGUCAUGGCUCACUCCUGUAAUCCCAGUGCUUUGGGAGUCUGAGGUGGGACGAUCUCUUGAGACUAGGAGGGAGUUUGAGACAAACCUAGGCAAUGUAAUGAGACUCUUUCUCUACAAAAAAUUUUAAAGUUAUCUGGACAUGGUGGUGCCUGCCUGUAGUCCCAGCUACUUGGGAGGCUGAGGUGGGAGGAUUCCUUGAGCCCAGAAGUUCAAGGCUACAGUGUGCUAUGAUAGAGCCACUGCACUCCAGCCUGGGCAACCAGGUGAGACCUUGUCUCUAAAAUGAAUAAAUAAAUAAAUAAAACAAAAACAGUUAAUAGAGUUAAAAAGUAAGGAAAUUCUGACACAUGCUACAACAUGGAUGAACCUUAAAGACAUUACGCUAAGUGAAACAAGUCAGUCACUAAAGACAAAUGCCAUAUGAUUCCUUAUCUGAGAUACCUACAGUAGUCAAAUUCAUAGAGAUAGAAAGUAGGACGGUGGUUGGGGGAGUGGGGAAAAUGGGCAGUUAGUGUUUAAUGGGCACAGAACUUCUGUUUCAGAUGAUGAAAAGUUCUGAAGGUGGAUAGUGCUGAUAGUUGCACAACAAUGUGAACUUACUGAAUGCCACGGACCUAACAUUUAAAAAUAGUUAAAUGGUAAAUUUAAUAUUAUGUAUAUUUUAUCACAAUUUUAGAAAGUUAAUAGAUUACAUAAUAUUGCUUAUUCACAGGUCUUGAUUUAGAAAUGCAGGAAAAAUAUCUUUAUGUACUCCUCAUUUUGCUCAUUUUGAGUUCUUUAAACAUCAAAAAAGUUAAUCCAUUAACUAUUUCAAAUAAGUCAUAUAUGAUUUCUGUAUAAUAUGUUGCCAUGGAAUUUUGUUAAUCACAGAGUAAGUUAAACUAUGCUAUAAGAGCAAAAAGCUUGCUUUGAAUGCUUCUGCAAAGCCCUAGGCAACAGGAAAAGCAAUAUUUCCUCCCUUAAUUAUUACAGGGAGGUCACUGAUCGUUACAUAAUUGCCCCGAUUCUCAUCCUGAGGAUACAAGAAAGAAUGCUCUGGAAGAGGGCUGCUUUGCAAGGACAUGAUCAGGCUGUGUCCUGGGAGGACUACAAUAGAGCUUUAGAAGGUAUAGGGUUUGCCCACAGUUUAAACUAGCUUCUCAACAAUAGAACUCUAUGCUUUUUCCAACUAGGACAUAUGUGAACUGUGCAGGUUAGGCUAUUGUGGUUGUGUGAGAGCUCUCCCUUGAGCCAGCCUAACUCUAGAUGAAAAACAGAAUAUGAGAUGUUGAGAGGAUAAAGUCCUUCCUGCAUUCAGAAGGGCUUAAAGCCGAGGAAAGAAAAGAGAGAUGUAUCCCAGGAAAUGGUAUUUUUUAAUGGCCAUUUCAAAUCGUUUUAAUAUUGUUAUAUUGUUUAUUCUAUCAAAAAUAUUUAACAAAGAGGAAAAUAAUAAACGUUGUACGCUGACUUUGUUCUUCAGGCAGCAUAUCAUCAUAGGAUAAAUGGCAAGGUCUGCCUGCUGUGCUUUUAAUGGCAACAGAAAAACUGAAGCAAGACUGCUGUCAUAAAGCUUAAUGCUAAUUUUUGUAUUUUUAGUAGAGACAGGGUUUUGCCUGUAAUCCCAGCCACUUGGGAGGCUGAGGCAGGAGAAUCGCUUGAACCCAGGAGGUAGAGGUUGCAGUGAGCCAUGAUCGUGCUGCUGCACUCCAGCCUAGGCAACAGAGCAAGACUCCAUCUCAAAAAAAAAAAAAAAAAAAAAAAGCUUAAUACUGAGUCACAAAUGUUCAUGACCGUAUUUAAGAGAAUGAAGGCUAAAUGACACAUCCAUCUUUUUGGUAGGUUGCAUUAUCAUUUGAAAUAUUUGUUGCCCCUCCCUGAGUUCACCUUCCUGCAGAAAGAUGAUAACUUACCUGGCUGUUAAGGUCUAGCACACUCAAUUUGCUUGCUCUAUGCCUAGAGCAUUGUGAGGAAAAGUGACAUAUGUCACUUUGGAGGAGAAACAUUAAGAACAAGCACCUGGUUUGCUGCAUCUUUUAUUCCUCUACUAUAAGACCAGCUACAGCCAAAAUAAGACCUGCUCUAUGAGUCUGGGUCUAUGUGUGGAGCAGAUUUGCAGCUGACCCAUAAUAGGCGUAUGAUGUGAGCCGGAAAUAAACCUCUGUUUAUUUGGGGUUGUUUGUUCCUGCAUCAUUACUUUAGCUUAUCCUGACUGUUGCAUUUUCCAUCCAAAUAACAGCAGCAUCAUAAACAUUUAUAUAAUUUGUAUAACAGUUUGCUUAGGCUUCUUAUGUACCUAUUUACCCUUUCCCAAAAUCCAAAUUUACUCAGUUUCAUCUUCUUGACAACAGAAUCCCAACUUCAUUCCAGCUGCAAUAUGCCCAACCCCAGCAUGUGUCCAACUACAGUUCAAUUAUUCUAAGCCAAUCACAGCAACUCAGUUCUCCCUUGAAAGUCAUUGGCCUAGGGGUUAGCAUAUGAGUCAGUUCUGAACAAUGAGCCUUAAGGAGAAUCUGCCUAAGAUUUCAGGAGUAUCUUUCUUUUCUGAUAAGAGCAGCAUGCAAAGUCAGAAAGCCUUUUUUGUCCUCUUCCCAUCACUUUCAGCUUUAAAAGCCAUAAUAGAAGAAUGUGGUGCUCGAGCUCUGACCAUGAAGAUAAACACCAGUGUGCCCUGAAAGCAAUGGAGUCAAGGAUAGAAAGAGCUGGAUCCUUGACAUAACUGAACCAUCCACUCACCCACAGGACUGCCUACCUGGACUUCACAGUGAACUGUUAAUGUCUUUAUGGUUUAAGCCAUAUGUCUGAUUUUUCUGUUUCUUGCUGCCAAAAUCAUCCUAACUGACAAAACCUUCAUGGACACAGCAUUGUUCACAUGGCCCAUUUCACAAGGAGUUCAUCUUUAUGACUGCCCCAGAUAGGCCUUGAAUUUACCAGUUACUUAAAAAAACCACAAUGAGAGUCAAAGGAAUUUUGGGCCUUUGCUUAAUUUGACUGCUCUAAACCCAGCUCAGACCUUGAUGAAGUCCUCUUUAAUAUGCAUUGAACAAAACCAUCAGCUCCCUGUGGUCAUUUAUUGUAGGUCCUUUGUCUCUAUAAGGUCCUAGGAGCUACCUAGUCCUGUUUCUUCCCCCUGCCCCACCCCCUCCCCAUCUCUACCACCAAACCCCAAUGUACAAUUUCAACAGCAAAACAAAGUUAAGCCAGAAGAGCUGCCAGUGUCCCUGUCUUGAGCUCUCCCUAUUGUAUCCUAAUGCUGCAAUAAGAUGAGUGCAGAGGGACCUCAUGGCUUAAGCCCCAAAGAGUACUAUGUGCAUCGAUCCUCAAUCCUCGCUCCCAGUCACCGAGAUGAGCAGCAAAUGCCUCAGGGUAGAUCAUGGAUUUGGGCAAAUAGGAAUGCAUCUAAAUGCUCAACAGAAGUUUGGUUUUUUCAGUUUCUUGGAAUAGUCUCCAUGUUGGCCUUCUGUUAUCAUCUAUUAUUUCCAGAUGUUCCUUGUUUUGUUUUGUGUCUAGUUUUCUACUUCCCAAACCAUGUUUUGCUACUCAACCUUUUUCUUAUGUCUGUGUUUGUGGACCCUAGAAAAGGUCUCAGAAAUGUGAUCUUCUUUUAAUUUUUCUUGGUAUCUUUUUUCUUUGUGUCCUCGCAGUGUGGUUUCUGGACACCAUGUAGGAGUGUUACUUUGAUUUCAGGUUUUUGGAAACACAUAACAAAUAUCUCAAUUUUUCUGGCACUACUUUCUUUUCAUCUUUGUUUUACAUCGUGUAUUUCACUUCUGCCAAAAAUGUUAUUUUGAUACUUGGUGUCCCUUUUUAUUGUCUUUGCUACCAUAUUCUUGUUAAUAAGAAAGAAAUAUACAAAACUUGUACGGUUACUUAAUCCUGGUGGCUGCUUUGAAAAAUUCCACUCAGAACAGUUAAGCUGCUGUUAAGCUAAUACAGUUUUUUUGUAAAUGGUCCAAAUUGAUCUUCAUUAAAUAACUUCCUGUUUUUAAUUUGUACUAUCCUAUUUUAAUUUGCUUAGUAUAAAUUAGGUAGUAAUUGGCUAUGAGAUAUUUGCAGUCUUUCUCUACUUUCUAUUUCCUGCAUUUUAUAGUUAGACUGCCCCUAGGUCAAGUUUUGUUGUUACUCAGCACCUGUGAGUUCUUAGCAUUCUUUCUUAGAUUUAUGCUUUGAAUUAGAAAAGCUUUACCAAAAAAAAAAAAAAAAUCUGUUUUCUGCAUGUUGUCCCAUAAAAUUUUCUUUGGAUGCACGAAUGCACGAAGCUCUUACAGAGUUUAAUGGUUACUUCACCUUGUUGAUUUAUUGUGGUUUUUUUGCUGGAGCAUUUUCAUUCUUCUAUCAGCUUGCAGAAACCUUGAAACAUCUGUGUGGCAACAUGGAAGUGAAAAGCACAUUUAACUGCUUUGUUGCUGCGUAUCAUGUGGCAAAUAAAAGCCAUAGGCCUUCAAUGUCCCAGGCAGCCAGUGUUGUACAAAUGGCUUGUAUUCUAACAGUCUAUGCUAGCUGGUUAUUUGAAGUGCAUUUCCCCAUGGAAACAAGGAUAAGAGGGGCACUUAAGUUUCUAGGUUAGUUCAUAAAAGCCUGUUCUACCCAGAAUAUAACUAAAAUUAUGUGCAUUGCAAUGAAUAAGAGCAGAAUAUUGUAAUAUCGGUAACCUAAGUAGCCAGAAAAGUCACAAAACUCAAUAAGAAAGAAGCUUUUAAAAACAUUUACUGAAUGGUGAUUGUCAAGGAAAAACAAAUUUAGCUAGAUAGGGAUGUAGAGAAAUACUCUUAUCAUUCCAACAGGGAUGAUUGAAGGACGUGACACUAGUUUUAUUUAUUAUAUAUGUUUCUCUUUAAAAUAAAAGUAAACAACUUGGCAUAGUUUCAAAAUAUUCUUCAAUAUACUUUUUUAAAUAAUCAGGUAAAAGAUGAUAAAUGUAAAUUUAAUAAGAACUUCUUUUGAUUUGUUUUGUUUUGUUUUUUUGAUAGAGUUGUGCUCUCUCACCCAGGCUGGAGUGUAGUGACGUGAUCAUGGCUCACUGUAGCCACGAUCUCCUGGGUACAAGCAAUCCUCCCACCUCAGCCUCCCGAGUAACCGGGACUACAGGUGUGCACCACCAUGCCCUACUGAAUUUUUUUAAUGCUUAUUUUUUAGUAGAGACGAGGUCUCCCUAUGUUGCCCAGGCUGCUCUCAAGCUCCUGGGUUCAAGUGAUUUACCCACCUUGGCCUCCCCAAGUGCUGGGAUUACAGGCACGAGCCACUGUGCCCGGCCAAGAAAGUUUUAAGAAGUGAAAAACAUCGUGGUUUCCUUCUUGUUUGAGAAAGUUAUAUCAAAGACACUUUUUAUUUCAUUUAGCAGCCAUGACUUCACCCUCCUUUGGUCCUUUCAUUAAAGGAACAGAUGAGGGUUCAUUGUCUGCUAAGUGACAGGUGCCGGGUGGAAUAUGGCAGCAACAAGAGAGACCAAAGAGUGGCACAUUGGUUUAUUGAGAGAGUGAACAAUAUCUGUGGCAGAGAUUUUCCAGUGCAAAUGGGGGCAAGAAAGAAAAAAGUGAAGGAGGAAGGGAAUUCCUAAAGACGUAGAUGGGAGAAGAUUUCCUGAGAAGGAAUGAAUUGAGCUGGGAAUGCAAAAGGACAAGAUGGAGAAGGUAACUAGAAUAUUGGACUCACUGGAGAGGAGACAAGAAAGUAGGGAGAGAGACAACUUAGAUCAGACAGUGAUCACCCAAGCUGAGGGGUGACGUUGUCCACCCCAAAACAACUUCUUGUGACCUAAGGUGAGAAGAGUGAGAAGGGAUGGGGAAUCAAUUUCAGCACAAUUAAAGGGAAGGAGCUGUUUUGCAAGAUGGAUGUUAGAAGCUAUAGGAAGUAAAGCACAGGAAAAAGGCUGAUUUGGCAGAGAUUUUGCUCAGAUAAAUUCCAUGGUUUCCAAGAGUCAAUCAUAAGAGAUCCUUUGAGAAAUGUCCAGAAGUUGCCAUUUUUAUCUAUUUCUUCGCAACAAAAUGCUGUUUCACAUUUAUUAUAAGGUGAUAAUGUGUGAUAAUAAAUUGACUAGUUUAUUGAGGGGACAGAGUUGGAAAGAGCUAAGUAACUGGGGCCCCUGGAAACACUGAAUCAAGAAGUGUCACUCUCUGCAGGGAGGGCAGGAGCUGAGCUCAUGAACUAAUACCUUGCUCACCCCAUUCCUAGCCUCCUUGAGUUGCAGAUGCUUUUGGUGAUAUAUCCUCAUUUUCACUUUAAAGAGUUCUUAACAUUUGUUGUAAAUGUAUUUAAAAGAUUCACCUAGUUAGACCUGUACCCAGUCCCUGCACCCCUAGAAAGAUAGCCCAUCACCCGUAAUUCCCUUAAAGGGCCAGACGAGCUCAGAGACUAAGAGCCGAGAGUGGAGCCAGAACACCUGGGUUUGAAUCCGGACUCAAAUGACACAGUCAUUUCCCAGCAGUGCUGUGUGACUUUGGGCAAGUUACUUAACUUCUCUGGGCCCAGUCUUCAUAUGUAAAGUUGUAUAAUAAUAGUACUUAGAUCAUAGGGUUACUUUGGACAUUGAAUGGGUUAACAGAUGUGAAACUCUUAGAAAAAUGCAUGGCUCCAACUAGUGUUAACUUUAAAAAGCAAAACAAAAGAAAACAAAACUUAAAAUUCCUUUGCCGGUUACUCAUAUUAACAAAAACAAUUACAUAUGUUGCUGUAUGUAUAUUCAUUUACCUUCAGAAGCAUUCUAGUAAAUGCGAGCCAUCAUGUGAAUGGUAAGAGGCUGGCUUAGCCCCUCUGGCUUAGCCCCUCUGGCUUAGCCCACCUCCAGCACCAACUGUCAGAAGAGCUCUAAGACUAAUGGAUCUAAACCUAGUUCACUUUAAGUCAUUGACCAGCUUUGUUGAUUGCAUUUUGCUGUAGCAAUGUUAGAAACCAUAUACAUUAAAUGCUCCUGAUCUUCCUCAGAGAUGGCCCUGCUCAAAGAUGCUGAUAAUAUUUAUCUGUGUGUGGAUGUAGCUAAAUUUCUUUUAAGUAAGUCCAUGGAGGAAAUAAAAAAUACCUCAUAACUUUCCCUUUCAUCUUUGGAUGCCUUCCUUCCAGCAGAGUUUAUGUGGAACAAAAACCUGUCUUUCUAGCCAGUUCUGGCCCCACACAAGCCAGUGAUGUAAUCAAAGUUCAUCCUUGGGGCACUUCCUACCUGGGCUUUAACCCCUAGUCUGAUCUCUGUCACCAUACCUACUCUAUACCCUCAUCCUCACCUCUGUCUUAAUGAAAAUAUAUUGAACAUAUUUUAAACAGGUAAAUAAAUGUUAGAGGCCCAGUGUAUAGCUCCUAUCCUGGGAAAAGCCUGCCUGUCGCUUAUUCUUCUCCCAUGGAAGGCCUUCUCUACAUCCUAUCUUUCUGCAUUUAGAUAAAAUAUGCCUAAUUCCAAGGGAUUUUGUGAGGGGGGGCAGGAGGAGUUAUCAAUAAUAUAGUGGACAUAAAAUGGGAUAUUUUAAGGGAGAAGGAAAAGAGGAAAAGGUGUGGAAAAAAAAAACCCAAGAGCAACAAAGUAGUGGGGGAAACCACAGCAGAAAAGGCAUUAGAGAAGGAAAGAGAGGCGAAGUAGAGAAGAGAGUUAGCUCCUUUUGUGGUCAGCGUCAUGAGAAGCAAGUUGAACAGGGCAAGGUUUAGGAAAGGGUCCUCUGGCAGAUUUAGGAGGUCAGGUAGGGAGGAUUACUGAAAAGCCUUAGUUGUGAACUACACUGAGGCAACAAUAUGGUCCAUCCAACUGGGGGCAUGGCAGAGGUGUUAAGUCAGAUUGGCAAGUGGCCCAAAUUGUUGGUCAGGCUCUGGCCAGGUAAGCCAAUUGGCCAGAGGUCAGCACCAUGGAUAGUCCCAAAGGAUUUGUGGACUCUGGAGAGAAGUGAAGAGAACCCUACAUAUUUGGUGACAGACUAAAGUUUGGUGUUUUUUUUAGCUCAGCCCCUAAGGCUGUUUUGGUUCUACCUAUAUUCAAAAACAACAUUUAUUGAGCACCUAUUGUGUGCCAGACACCCUUACUAGUUCUGGAGAAUGACAAAGAAAUGAGAUGAUACUGUCUGCCCUUAAGAAGCUUACUACUCCCUGGAUAAACUAGAAAUUUUUAAAAAUGAAAAUAAUGAUAUGGCCCUCUUGAGGGAGGAGGGUGGGAAGAGGGAGAGGAUGAGAAAAAAAAUAAUUGUUGAGUACUAUGCUUAGUACCCAGGUGACAAAAUGCUCUGUACCUCAGACUCCUGUGACAUGAGUUUGCCUGUAUUAACAAACCUGCACAUGUACCCCUGAGCCUAAAAUAAAAAUUAAAAAGUGAAAUAAAGAAAAUAAUAAUAGCUAAUAUUUAUUGAGCAAUUACUAUAUACAAAGUACAUAAUUCUAACUGCUAUACAUAAAUUAUUUUAUUGAAUUCUCUCAACAACCUUAUGAAGGAGGUAUUAGUAUCCUUAUAGAUGAUGAAGCUGAGGCACGUAGAAUUUAAGAAACUUUCUUUGUUACGUACCUUGUUAGAAAUAAAGCCAGGAUUUAAACCCA